GAUGGCCUGCUGCCUUGGUGGGUGGGGCUCCAUCUGCUGGCAGCUCCCCCAAGUCCCAGCAGCUGGGGCUGACAUUGUUGGAUAAGCCCUGCUGGGGACCCUGCCUUAUCUGCCCCUCGCAUGUGUCGGAUAAGCCUCUUACCAUGGGCUGGCCCAGGCGGCAGGUGGGAAGCGGCUGGAAGAGGAGAGGGCCAGCUGGGGCUGGCUGAGCUCCAGAGAAGACAGCAGGGGUUGGGGAGUCCCAGCAGAAGCCCAGGAGGGCAAGGCGAGGGGUCACAGUGAGGGAAGUGGGGAGCAGUGGUUUGGGCCGUGGAUUCUGACGCCAGGCUGCCUGCAUUCGUGGCCCAGGCCAGGAGCUUCCCCAGGAGGGGCCCACCACCUCCCGCAGUACACCUGGAGCCCAGCUGCCUGGCCUCAGGCACAGCCCCAACACCUACUCAGCCUGUCCUCACCGGACACUCCUCAGGAAUCCUGGCCUUCCUGGAAAUCCCCCCAGACACCUUGUAGCCCUUGUGCCCUCUGGUGACAAAAGCCAUGCAUGGCAGCUGGAUCUACAGGACACACUGGGCCAGAGACGAUACUGUCCCUUGUCUGCUUAUUUUAUGUCAUCCUCACAUCAAGUUGACAAGCACCUGGUCACUUGUCCACUUUCAGGUUUGGAAGAAAUCCACACCAUGGAGAGCUGCCAGAGGGCCAGGGGAAGCACGGAAACGUGGAAGCUGGAAGUGCAGGGGAAUCACUGCAUGUGAUGUACACCUUGACUAAUGGAAACAGGAGAAGAGAAAGAGCCAGAAAGAUACAUUUCCCCUCCUUUCUCUAUUCUGAAGUGUGGUUCCCCCUUGCAACCCUUCCCACAUGAAACAUGACCAUGUUUAAUGAACAACCUGCUGUGUCUCUUGGAAGCUUGUUGCACGGCAACAACCAGGACAGUGACAUAUCACAUUGUGUUACAUUUUUCUCCCUCACCCUCCUGCCCUGAGCUGGCACAUCCCAUAUCAAGCCUUAACACGAUAAUCCUUGUCUCAGGCUCUGCUUUCAAGAGGAUCGAGGCAAAGAA